rnacentral:misc_RNA from 1 species
GAUGAAGAACGCAGCGAAAUGCGAUACGUAAUGUGAAUUGCAGAAUUCAGUGAAUCAUCGAAUCUUUGAACGCACAUUGCGCCCGCCAGCACUCUGGCGGGCAUGCCUGUUCGAGCGUCAUUUCAACCCUCAGAACCCCUUUGGGGGAUCUGGCGUUGGGGAUCGGCAGUCCUGCCGGCCCCGAAAUAUAGUGGCGGUCUCUCUGUGACCUUCCCUGUGUAGUAGCGAUACCUCGCAGCGGGAUAGCAGUUUGGCCACGCCGUAAAACACCCAACUUCUCAAGGUUGACCUCGAAUCAGGUAGGAAUACCCGCUGAACUUAAGCAUAUCAAUAAGCGGAGGA